GGUGGCUCAGUGGUAGAGCGCCUGCCUUACAUCCAUGAGGCCCUGGGUUCGAUUCCUCAGCACCA
rnacentral:tRNA from 1 species